UUUUGGGAUCAUAUAAAAAUAUAUCGGAAUAUUGCCUUUAUUCUACGCUUAGAAUUAGUCAAAUUUCCCUGAUUUGACAACACAUCACAAGGCAUUAUGAUAAGAAAUACCCUGGUGAAGUUUGUCGUAUGGUUGGAAUCAGCGUCUAAAAUACGCUUACUAGGCACAUGGCAAAGACGACGUUCAGAAGAUGUCGGCUGUAUAACUUUGAAAUCGGAAAAAACAAGAUGUGCAUGAUACCAAAAAGAAUAUGAACUUUUACAAGAGCAUAUUUCCAAUUUUCCACAUCUCUAGAGCAGUGGCAACAAAUGUACAUACAAGUACCCACAGAUGACAGCCAUAUUGACUCCAGUGGAUAAUAUUUACCUCCAUCAGCUGGUUACUACACUGUACAUAGUGGUCAAACCAGGAUAUCCACUAAUUGCUUUCAGUGAUGUGAAUUGUCAUCUACAUUUGUGCUUAGGAACUUUAGUAAACUGUCAAGUUUUAAUAUGAAGAAAAUGACUGCUGAAAAAGCAUCUAAUCUUGUGUUCUAUGAAUGUUUUCAAUUAAACACAAAACAAAAUGAGAAA